GUAUACACCUAAUCAUAUCGAAAGGUGUAGUACAGUGGUCAUUGAGGUGAGUACAAAUCUAAGAGAUCAGGGUUCAAAUCCCCGUUGAGACAAAAGAAGAACACUAGAUUAUUUCUUCUCUAUCUGCCUAAGAUUUGGAAGUUUGCCACAUAAUGUACUAUGCUUCUUUUAGUAGACCUCUUUAAGGUCAUGGUACAUCUUCGUGGAACCAGGAUGAAUA
rnacentral:misc_RNA from 1 species